rnacentral:rRNA from 1 species
GUGCCAGCAGCCGCGGUAAUACGAAUCGUCCUAACGUUGUUCGGAUUCACUGGGUUUAAAGGGCGCGUAGGCGGUGCGUUAAGUCGGUGGUGAAAUACUUCAGCUCAACUGGAGAAUUGCCGCUGAAACUGGCGCGCUCGAGGGAGGUAGAGGUGUGUGGAACUUCCGGUGGAGCGGUGAAAUGCGUUGAUAUCGGAAGGAACACCCGUGGCGAAAGCGACGCACUGGACCUCUUCUGACGCUGAGGCGCGAAAGCCAGGGUAGCGAACGGGAUUAGAAACCCCCGUAGUCC